AAAAUAACGCAGGUUCGUCCAGUAGCCCAUAAAGCAAAUAUAGAACACAGAAAAUCCAACUCGUGUCCCAUAUGUAUUCCAACUGUCUUUCCCAAGCCUAAAUCAUCACAAAAUUUAGCAAUUGUGUUAACACGACGAAGUAAUUCUGUAUAUGUAUAUUUAGCAACAAUUCCACGUUCAUUGUACACGGAGAUAAACCGAUGAUCUGGUGUUUCUUUUGCGUUUUUCAAAAGGCGAGCGAUUGGUGUAUCUUCUUCUUUAGAUAUGGAUGAAAACGAAACUGAUUCUGACGA